GACGAACGCUGGCGGCGUGCUUAACACAUGCAAGUCGAGCGGAAGAGCCCUGCUUUUGUCGGGUGCUCGCGGGGCAAACGAGUGAAUAACACGUGAGUGACCUGCCCUUGGGUUUAGGAUAACUUCAGGAGACCGGUGCUAAUGCCUGAUAGGAGCGCCUGCUGCAUGGUGGGGGUUGGAACGUUUCGGCGGUUGGGGAGGGACUCGCGGCUUAUCAGCUUGUUGGUGGGGUAGUGGCCUACCCAGGCUUUGGCGGGUAGCCGGCGUGUGAGGGUGAACGGCGACCUGGGGACUGGGGUAGGGCCCAGACUGCUACGGCGGGCAGCAGUGGAGAACCUUGUCCAAUCGGCGGGAGCCUGAGGCAGCAGCGCCGCGCGGGGGAUGACGGCCCUCGGGUGGGAAACGGCUGUCGCCUGCGACGAUGCGUGAGUGACGGUAAUGGGCAAAGAAGCACCGGCUAACUCCGUG
rnacentral:rRNA from 1 species